AGUGAACGCUGGCGGUAGGCCUAACACAUGCAAGUCGAACGGCAGCACAGGAGAGCUUGCUCUCUGGGUGGCGAGUGGCGGACGGGUGAGGAAUACAUCGGAAUCUACUCUGUCGUGGGGGAUAACGUAGGGAAACUUACGCUAAUACCGCAUACGACCUACGGGUGAAAGCAGGGGACCUUCGGGCCUUGCGCGAUUGAAUGAGCCGAGGUCGGAUUAGCUAGUUGGCGGGGUAAAGGCCCACCAAUGCGACGAUCCGUGGCUGGUCUGAGGGUAUGAUCAGCCACACGGGAACUGAGACAGGUGCCAGACUCCAACGGGAGGCAGCAGUGGGGAAUAUUGGACAAUGGGCGGAAGCCUGAUCCAGCCAUACCGCGUGGGUGAAGAAGGCCUUCGGGUUGCAAAGCCCUUUUGUUGGGAAAGAAAUCCAGCUGGCUAAUACCCGGUUGGGAUGACGGUACCCAAAGAAUAAGCACCGGCUAACUUCGUGCCAGCCGCCGCAGUAA
rnacentral:rRNA from 1 species